UGGGGAAUUUUGGACAAUGGGGGAAACCCUGAUCCAGCCAUCCCGCGUGUGCGAUGAAGGCCUUCGGGUUGUAAAGCACUUUUGGCAGGAAAGAAACGUCAUGGGUUAAUACCCCGUGAAACUGACGGUACCUGCAGAAUAAGCACCGGCUAACUACGUGCCAGCAGCCGCGGUAAUACGUAGGGUGCAAGCGUUAAUCGGAAUUACUGGGCGUAAAGCGUGCGCAGGCGGUUCGGAAAGAAAGAUGUGAAAUCCCAGAGCUCAACUUUGGAACUGCAUUUUUAACUACCGGGCUAGAGUGUGUCAGAGGGAGGUGGAAUUCCGCGUGUAGCAGUGAAAUGCGUAAGUAUGCGGAGGAACACCGAUGGCGAAGGCAGCCUCCUGGGAUAACACUGACGCUCAUGCACGAAAGCGUGGGGAGCAAACAGG
rnacentral:rRNA from 1 species